rnacentral:rRNA from 1 species
AUUGAACGCUGGCGGCAGGCCUAACACAUGCAAGUCGAACGGUAACAGGAAGAAGCUUGCUUCUUUGCUGACGAGUGGCGGACGGGUGAGUAAUGUCUGGGAAACUGCCUGAUGGAGGGGGAUAACUACUGGAAACGGUAGCUAAUACCGCAUAAUGUCGCAAGACCAAAGAGGGGGACCUUCGGGCCUCUUGCCAUCGGAUGUGCCCAGAUGGGAUUAGCUAGUAGGUGGGGUAACGGCUCACCUAGGCGACGAUCCCUAGCUGGUCUGAGAGGAUGACCAGCCACACUGGAACUGAGACACGGUCCAGACUCCUACGGGAGGCAGCAGUGGGGAAUAUUGGACAAUGGGCGCAAGCCUGAUGCAGCUAUGGCGCGUGUAUGAAGAAGGCCUUCGGGUUGUAAAGUACUUUCAGCGGGGAGGAAGGGAGUAAAGUUAAUACCUUUGCUCAUUGACGUUACCCGCAGAAGAAGCACCGGCUAACUCCGUG